AAUUAUUGUGAUGGUUCGCUUUUACCGUUUAAUAUAAAGUUAACAUUUUCGAGUGCACUUAAAUGCCACAUUACGUACUGUUAGUCGUCGGCUUCCGUUACACCUUGCUCUGGAUUUCGCUAGGCUCGGAAAAGAACUGCAGUUGAAUCUACACUUUGUGGGCUUUGAAGAUUUGUGUUGAAUCUACACUUUGUUGUACAAAUGCUCUGUCUCCUCCUGUUUGUCAUUUGUAUUGUUAUAUGUGACUAAAUAACGACUGUAAGGACUGAAUUUCAACUGACUUGGCUGCAGUUGCCAAACAGGGGAAGGCACUCUGUGAGGCACCAGACUCUUUCAGCUGAUCGGGGAAGUGCGCCCUGUGAAGCCCUAGACUUUUCGCCAAUCAGGGAAGUGCGCCCUGUGAGGUCCCAGACUUUUCGCCUGUCAGGGAAGUGCGCCCUGUAAGGCACCAGACUUAAGAAUCUGUGGAUCAGGGACGUGAGUCCUUGUGAAGCCUUUACAGUUUGAAAUUGUGGAUCGGGGACGCGAGUCCCUGUGAAGCCUUUACAGUUUGAAAUUGUGGAUCAGGGACGUGAGUCCCUGUGAAGCCUUUACAGUUGAUAUUGUGGAUUGAGGAAGUUGAAAGAAGUCUCUUGAUUUUUUAAGUUAAAUAUCAGCUAUUUGGAUUGCUUCUAUUUAUUGCACAUAAGUGAUAUAUUUGCACAUUGAGAUAUUUCACUAUAAAUAGUAAAUACCUAUAAUACUUCACAGCGUUUGUUUUAAGUAAUAUAAAUUGUUGAGAACCUACCUGUUCAAGAUAUAACAUUUGUUUAAUUUAUUCUGCCAUUAUCCUUUAGUCAUGCACUGAACUGCAAAUAAAAAAUUUAAAUUUGUAAAGUUGUGUACUAUCAAAUAUAUUUUCAUAAACGCUUGAUAAAACCA